AUUGAACGCUGGCGGAAUGCUUUACACAUGCAAGUCGAACGGCAGCACGGGUGCUUGCACCUGGUGGCGAGUGGCGAACGGGUAAGUAAUGCACCGGAACGUAUCCAAUAAUGGGGGAUAACGCACCGAAAGGUGUGCUAAUACCGCAUACGCCCUGAGGGGGAAAGCGGGGGAUCGUAAGACCUCGCGUUAAUGGAGCGGCCGAUGCCGGAUUAGCUAGUUGGUGAGGUAAAGGCUCACCAAGGCGACGAUCCGUAGCUGGUCUGAGAGGAUGAUCCGCCACACUGGAACUGAGACACGGUCCAGACUCCUACGGGAGGCAGCAGUGGGGAAUUUUGGACAAUGGGCGCAAGCCUGAUCCAGCCAUGCCGCGUGAGUGAAGAAGGCCU
rnacentral:rRNA from 1 species